rnacentral:rRNA from 1 species
GACGAACGCUGGCGGCGUGCCUAAUACAUGCAAGUUGAGCGCUGAAGGUUGGUACUUGUACCAACUGGAUGAGCAGCGAACGGGUGAGUAACGCGUGGGGAAUCUGCCUUUGAGCGGGGGACAACAUUUGGAAACGAAUGCUAAUACCGCAUAAAAACUUUAAACACAAGUUUUAAGUUUGAAAGAUGCAAUUGCAUCACUCAAAGAUGAUCCCGGGUUGUAUUAGCUAGUUGGUGAGGUAAAGGCUCACCAAGGCGAUGAUACAUAGCCGACCUGAGAGGGUGAUCGGCCACAUUGGGACUGAGACACGGCCCAAACUCCUACGGGAGGCAGCAGUAGGGAAUCUUCGGCAAUGGACGAAAGUCUGACCGAGCAACGCCGCGUGAGUGAAGAAGGUUUUCGGAUCGUAAAACUCUGUUGGUAGAGAAGAACGUUGGUGAGAGUGGAAAGCUCAUCAAGUGACGGUAACUACCCAGAAAGGGACGGCUAACUACGUG